rnacentral:lncRNA from 1 species
UUCCUUAGAACAUCAAUACUGGUAAAUUUUUUUUUUUUUUUUGACAAUUUGGUAAAGUUUUUUUUUUUUUAAAAACCAAUUAAGUUUUGUUGAACAGUUACUUUUUGAGUCGACACAUUACUGGGUUGUGUCUCUGGAAAAAGACAAUCAGAUUUAGAUGCGUCUGUGUUGAUGUCAAUCUUUUUCUGGGUCAGACUAUUUUGUUUAUUUUUGAAAUGAUACUUUUAUGGGCUUGUGAGAAUUAUCUAUUUUAGGUGCGAUUGGUACCAUUUAAAUUCCUACUAGUUAAGUUGCUUUUGUUAAUGACAAUUGAAUCUAUAUGCCAGUACUUUUUAUUGGAUGUUGUCUGUUUUGAGUGCAAUACAGUUUGUUGGGAAUCUAUAACUGUAGUAUUUUUCACAAGAGCUUUGAUUUUAAAAUCAAUAUUUCAGCAUAUUUUGCCCCCACUCCUUAAUGCUAGUAUUAUCUACCAAAUGCGUAUAUCAUGUUGUGCCUGUUAUUCAUUUAAGAACACUGCCUACAAGUAUUGUAUCCUCACUAUUAUAGUAGAGCCCUUUGUGUUGGUAUGUCUUAUGAUGUUGUGUGAUAUUAUACAUUUCUCCUUGUGCAAUUAUGAAAAAGUUGACUGAAUCUAAUAUUAACCUUGAAUAUUUUUUGCAAUUUUUUUCAAAUGAUAACUAGUGUUUUGAGGACCCAAAUUUUUUUCCUUGUGCAAAUUUCGUUGGAAGAGAUUGAAAGUUUGCAUCCAGGGGUGCUACUACUUGGUUUGUUUAUCAAGAGUUGAAUUAUGGUAUUUUGGUAGUGUAAUCUCUAAUUCCCUCCUAUGUUCUCUUGUUGUAAAUUUCAAGGCUUGAUCAUGUCUGAAUAGAGAAGUAGUUUAAACUUUAAAGCCCCUGUUAAUUUUCACUUCUGUUGAUAGCUUUCACUUCCACUGUUGUGAUCAAUUGGUCGGAGAUAUAUGAGUUAGAUGCCUAGAUCAAAUGGUCAACAGAUAUAUGAGUUAGAUGCCUAGAUCAAAUGGUCAAAAAUAUAUAGUUUGAAUAUAUUUUUUCUUCUUGAUUAUUAUUUUUUUUUAUAGAAAGGAUACCACAGAUAUGAUAUGCUAAUAUAAACUAUCUAAUAGAAUCUGAAACCAUGGUUUUUAUGUGGUGGUUUCAUGGUUUCCAAUGAGAACCCCGAAAUUGAUUAAUUUUUAUGUUAAAAUUUAAUAUUAUAAAUAAUAUUUUCUCUGUCCAAUUUUUAUAGGCGUUUUUGGUGUUUACACAUGGAUUAAACUAUAAUUAAUGAUGAAAAAGUAAUAAAUUUUUUACAAACAUUUUCAGUUUUGCCCUUGAUUAAUACUCCACUUCAAGAUAUUCAAACUUAGAAAAUUGGAAUAAGACUUUAAAAUGGUUGAUAACCAUGCAAAAUUAAUAAAGGUAAUUUGGUAAUCUGAAUUAUUUUUUCAUCUUAAGAAUGAUAAAAUGGACAAGAUUUUGGGGGGAAAAAAAACUAAAAAGCGCCUAUAAAAGUUGGACGGAGGGAGUAUUGAUAGUGAAAUUAAAUAUAUUAAUUCAAUUUUUUUGUUAAUUAAAUUUAGAUAAGUUUUACAUUAGUUUUUAUUUGGUACAUUUGAUUAAGUUUUGUUAAAUAAAAAUACCUAAGCUACAUAAAUAAUAUAUUUUUACUAAAAAAAUUUGUCAACUAUUAAAUGUAUGUGAUAGCUAUGUAAUUAUGUUCAUAUAUGUAUAUAAUGUUCUAAAACUAUAAUCCUUGCCUUAUAAAUUUUAAUUUAUUUUGUAAUGAAAUUUAACUUUUUACGUUUUUAUAUAUUUUCAGGAAUAAGGAAAUUCUUGGUCAACUAGAAGUUGUCCAACGCCUAUAAAUAUAUGUUUUGGCAUAAACCAAAAUAUAUAGAGAGAAACAUGUAGUCUUUAUUUGUUUCAAGAUAAACCACUAAGGUUUAGUGGUUUAGUGAUGUUUUGGCAUAACCCAAAACAUAGACCAAACAUAGCUUAUUUUAGCAUGUUUAGAUAAACAACUAGUACUUAGUUGUUUAGAAAAACCACUAAGGUUUAGUGUGUUUUGAUAAGAGAGGCAGCUAGGGCUUAGUUUGUCUAGUGAGUAUUGUGAGGCAGAGAUUCUUGUAAUCUUCAUAAUAUUCAGUAAAGAAGAUAGUCUUCUUCGAGAUCUUGUAUUUUGUUCAUCUAAUUUACUGCUAUUGUUUAAUUCCCCACUCAAUAGUAUUUUUACCUAAUAAUUUGUAUCAAGUUGGUAUCAAAGCCAAAAGUUGUAUCAAGUUGGUAUCAGAGCAAAGUUCGAUUCUCUGGUGGAGUUUUCUGUGGUUUAUGGUCUUAACCCGUUCGCAGUACAGAAAGCUAGGUAAAGUUCUUGUGUUUUUUAGAAGAUUCUAAGAUGACAAGAAAAAAGAAGAUGACGAAAACAGAUCUGAAGAAUUUAGAGGAGGUGGAGACAUCUACUUCGCAGCAGAAAACCAACCUGAAGCAGAAGCAGAAAAGUUUAUUUUCUAAUCAAGUAGAUGAUGAUGGUGAUCGAGAUGAGUCAUUCAAGGAAGAUUGCAUAUUGGAGCGCAAGAUGACUAAGACACGAAGUUGGAAACAGACAGUGUUUCUUAUUGGGCGUGCAGGUCAAGUUCCAAGCAAAGUUGAAUGGUUCAUCAAAGUCAAGAGACGUCUUGAGUUCCCUAAUCUCCAGUGUUUUUUACUUAAACAUGAGUUUAAGUUCUUACAGGGAGGAGCCAUGAUACAGGUGUAUCCUACUUGGGAACUCAACAGUAAGAAAACUUUAAAAUAGGUUUCCUUGUUCCAUAAGGGAUAGAAUUUCAGGAAUAAGGAAAUUCUUGGUCAACUAGAAGUUGUCCAAGGCCUAUAAAUAUAUGUUUUGGCAUAAACCAAAAUAUAUAGAGAGAAACAUGUAGUCUUUACUUGUUUCAAGAUAAACCACUAAGGUUUAGUGGUUUAGUGAUGUUUUGGCAUAACCCAAAACAUAGACCAAACAUAGCUUAUUUUAGCAUGUUUAGAUAAACAACUAGUACUUAGUUGUUUAGAGAAACCACUAAGGUUUAGUGUGUUUUGAUAAGAGAGGCAGCUAGGGCUUAGUUUGUCUAGAAAGUAUUGUGAGGCAGAGAUUCUUGUAAUCUUCAUAAUAUUCAGUAAAGAAGAUAGUCUUCUUCGAGAUCUUGUGUUUUGUUUAUCUUAUUUACUGCUAUUGUUUAAUUCCGCACUCAAUAGUAUUUUUACCUAGUAAUUUGUAUCAAGUUGGUAUCAAAGCCAAAAAUUGUAUCAAGCACAGUACGUCAGUACUUGCAUACAAAGAUCAAAGAGAACCUAACAUAGGCACUAGCUAUGUAUAUAGUCUAGGUAUAGUAGUACAUGUCCUAACUGGGGAUCAACAGUACAAAAACACAGGAAGCAGUAGUUCGUAAGGCUUAUUUUUGCAAGACAGAUCUGCAGCCAUAUUUGCUUGCCUAUGUACAUGCCUUGUCUGAUCUAAGUUCCCUGCAUCAGUGUUUUACACUAUUGCACUAUACAAUGAUAUUGCCACCCAUAAUAAAUAUUCCUUGCAUUAGGUUUACAACCAGGUAAGUUAGUGAGUUUGAUUUCUUUAUCAAAAAAAAAAAAAAAAAAGUUUGAGUAGUGAGCAGUGGGUUUACAUGAAAAGAAAACGUAAAAUGGUGAAAGAAAUGAGGAUGUCAUGUAAAGUACCAUGUGAAUGCGCAGGCACAAUCAGAAUUUGAGUAUUAAUGGACUUGGGCUUCAACCUUUAGACUCCUCUUAAUUUCGGGCUAUUGGGUUUGAAAGAGUUGCACUUUUCUACAGUGGGUUUUAAACAGAUAUGGCUUUGAGCCUUUAAGCAAAUUCAAGGCCUUUUCCAAACUUUUUUUUUUUUUAUAUUAAAAAUAAAUUUAUUGAUAAGCUCAACGAAUUAUACAAAAGUAGAGGACAAACGCGCUACAAACCACGUGGCAAAUCCUUUCUGGAUAUUACUUUUACCUUUUUUAUGUUUUUCUUUCAUUUUGACCAUGUUUGAUUUUUUUUUUUCUAUGUUGUUCGUAGGAUUGGUUUUUCUAUUAAAAAAGGGCUUGCAGCGCAGUUUGUAGCCCGCUUGUCCUGUAACUUUGUGUAAUUCUUCUUUUAUCAAUAAAAUUUGUUUUUAGAUUAAAAAAAAUAAAAAAGUCAGAAUCUAUGUAUUGAUAGCUAAAAAUUUGCGGACCAAAUACUACGGAAACAUAAAUUCUAAAUUUAGUUGUUUCAAGUUUUCAACAACCAAUUUAGGUGCAGCAAAACAGGUUGUAAGCCAAGUGGUUCGCAUACCUGUUACAGAAUAGAAAAAUAACAGAAGAAAAAUACUCCGGUAGAUAAUUUUUUUUUGCAGAAUCUAAAAUAUGUGAUGCAGUCUAAGACAUGUUCGUCUCCAUUCCAUUCAGAUAAUCAACAACCCCUUUAUUAUCUGUUUGGGUCUGUUUCGAUCAGAUCACAACACGCUUCUUUAAUUGCUGCUAGUAGCCUAGUAUGAUGCCUUGACAUUCAGCUUCUUGGGAGCACCUUGCACUUUCAAAUUCUGUGCAGGAACAGAUGAAGUUAAGACUUAAGAGCACACACAUUUCUGCUUUAGUAGAGGAGAAACACGUGUUACUAUGCAAUAUGCAAUGUAAGAUGAGCUAAAAUACAUCUGGAGUAGCACAUCGUUAUUCAGGUCUUAUAUAAGUAAACUUGCAGUUUUUGAUAGAAACUACUGAACUCACUCUCGCAAAUCUCGCACCCAUUUCCAGCGUUUAAUAAAGUCAUAUAAGCACACUAACGUAUCACAAACUUUUGCACUUAUCAUAAGCAAUCAGAUAAGCAAACUAACAUAUUCACAGCUUUGUUUCCAUUUAUCAUGCUCUAUUUAUUAGGUAGGGUCGACAAUUACCGUCAUCCCAACAAAAAGAGUCCUACAAACACCAACAAUUCAAACUGUUGACUUUACUCGAGAUUUGUAUUAAAUAUUUUUUAGAUCAUUAAUCAAUGGUUUUCAAGUAGGGUUUACGCUCAUCACGAGAAUACUAUCGUUUUCCUUUUUCCUAUCGUGUACUUUCUUUUUUAGAAAGUGAAGAGUAUAUAAAAAGAGAGAGAGAAAGAAAGAGAAAAAAAAUGGUAUAAAACCACAUCUCUCUCUCUCUCUUAUUCGUCUCUUUCACAUUGGGUUCUGCAAAUCUUCUAACUCUUCUUCUUCUUCUUCUCGAUCUCUUGUUUAUCAAUUGGAAAGAAGGUUUGAAUAUGUAUUUAUUUAUUAAUUUUGUUUGUUGUUGAGCUGGUUUGAUUUCGAUCUGUUAAUAGAAGUGGAAAUUUAGAGUAUGAAACCCUAAUUUUUUUUUUUUUUUUUUAAUUUUUAUGUAGGGGUUUAUGUUUGAAGUUUGAAUUUUUAGUUGAAUUGGAAGUAACGAUCUAUUGAAGAAGAAAGUUUUUGAUUAGAGAUCUUAUUAGAGAAAGGAGAAAGAAAAGAAAAUGUCUUCUCUUAGCAGAGAACUUGUUUUUCUUAUACUUCAGUUCUUAGAUGAAGAGAAAUUCAGAGAAACUGUUCACAAGUAAGUGCGAUUUUUUGUUUUAGAGAUAGUUUUGAUUUUAGUUACUUUUUUGUCAUUUUGUGUGUGUUUAUGAAUUAAGAAUUGGUUCUGUUUGUGUUUAUGUUGAAGAUUGGAGCAAGAGUCAGGGUUUUUCUUCAAUAUGAAGUACUUUGAAGAUUCUGUGAACAAUGGAGAAUGGGAUGAUGUAGAAAAGUAUCUUUCUGGAUUUACAAAAGUAGAUGAUAAUAGGUAUUCCAUGAAGAUAUUCUUCGAGAUCCGGAAACAGAAGUACCUUGAAGCUUUAGACAAGUAAGUGGUAGAUUACAUUGGUUAUGUUAUGCAUUUUUGCUUACUUUUGUUGUUAUUGUAUUUAUGGGGUGAUUAAGUAUAAAUUUGUUUGGUUUAUAGGCGCGAUCGAGCUAAAGCAGUUGAGAUUUUAGUGAAGGACUUGAAAGUGUUUUCAGCUUUUAAUGAUGAGCUCUUCAAGGAAAUAACACAACUUUUGACUUUAGAAAAUUUCAGGUAUUGAGUAAACUUGUUUUUUUUCCUGAUAAGAUGUGAAUGCUGCAUAGUUCAUGUUUUACUAAAUGAUUAUUUAAUUACGUGCAGAGAGAAUGAGCAGCUAUCAAAGUAUGGGGACACUAAGUCUGCUAGGAGUAUAAUGCUUGCUGAACUCAAGAAACUGAUUGAGGCUAAUCCUCUCUUUCGUGAUAAGCUUCAGUUCCCCACUCUAAAGAAUUCGAGACUACGGACACUGAUUAACCAAAGGUACGUCAUUGAAAAGAAUAUCUGUUGGUGUUCCUUUUGGAUUUGAAACUUUAUUUAUCUAGAGUUUCAGUUUAAAUUGGAAACAGCAGCUAUAUAAGAAAGACAAUUUUAAUUUUGUGUUGGGUUUCAGUUUAAAUUGGCAACAUCAGCUUUGUAAGAAUCCCAGGUCCAACCCUGACAUCAAGACACUUUUUGUGGAUCAUUCUUGUGGACCACCGAAUGGCGCUCGAGCUCCAUCCCCAGUGACAAAUCCAUUAAUGGCCAUGCCAAAACCAUCAGGAGGCUUCCCACCUUUGGGUGCUCAUGGGGUAAGGAAAUAAAUGAUAAUAGUUGGUCGCUAUAUAUAUAUUAUUAGGAGGCAUAAAGAACAAAUAAAUGAUUCUUGGUUUCAAUUUUUUGCAGCCAUUCCAACCGGGACCUGCUCCUCUAGCUACGUCUCUGGCUGGCUGGAUGGCUAACCCCUCCAGUGUUCCACAUCCAGCAGCUUCUGGGGGACCCAUCAGCUUAGGUGCUCCUAACAAUGCAGGUACUUAUUGUAUAAGCUCAUGUAGGAAAACAUAUCUGUCCAUUGCUUCUGUUCAGUAUAAACACAUUUGCGCCAAUGGAAAUGUGAAGACCCAUACUAUUUGGGAUUCUUUAAGUUACAGUACAUGCUAUGUGCUGAGCUCUUAAAUCAUAUUGGGGACAAUCGUUCACGCAUAUUUCCUGUUGUCGGAAGUCUAGAUCACCUCCUUGACAUAAGAAGAAGCAAGCUACAGAUCUUGUUCAGACAGGGGAACUGGGGAAGUACACAUUUUGUUCGGAUAGGAGCCUAUCAUGCUGGGUGAGAAUAGUGUCUUGUUGUUUAGUUUCUUUUCCCUGCAUGCGCUCUGCCUUUGGGUCUAUGCUCACAGCCUUGGGGUCUGUAGGACAUCUUGUCCUACAUCUUGUUAUGUUGUGUUGUUUUGUACUUGCUUUUGAAAGUAUAACUGCAUUUCUCAUCUUGACUUCAAUUCGGGCAGUUACUUAAGCGUUACAGUCACAAAGGUUUCCCUGCCGUGAUAGUGUGGUACUUCUAUAAGAAAGAGUGUUUAUGUGCAUCUUGUAGGCAUUAAGUGAAACAAAGGCUUAAAUGAAAGUCAAUGCAGUAGGUAUUUUGUUGUGCGUAAGAGCCAUCUAACAUUACUUAAUGAGAUAAUGGUCACCUAUAUAGCUAGCUCACUUGUUAUGCUUUCCUUUUGGACAACUUGUCUUUGUUAUAUAAAAUCCAUCUGAAGUGGCUCAACCGCUCAAAUGUACCUAUUGUUUUCUUAUCUCAUCACUCUGGAUAGUUCUGUUUUAACGAUGCUCUGCGUGUAUAUGGUUUGACUUUUCCUUCUAGGAGCUAUGUUAAAGCGUCCUAGGACUCCUACUAACAACCCGUCUAUGGAUUACCAAACAGCAGAUUCUGAACAUCUUAUGAAAAGAUCCAGACCGUUGGGAAUGUCAGAUGAGGUACUAUGUAAUUCUAUUCAGCCUUCUCAUGCUUCAUUUAAGUGUUUUUUUGGGCAAUUCUUAAAGUCUGUUAGCUCUGCUGCCUAUGUUUUGCAUUCAUUGAAUAUUUUUAUUUUUCUAGCUUUGAAAUCUUUUUAAAAUGAUGUCUUUUCCUCUUGUUUUUUGCAGGCCAAUAAUCUGCCUGUUAACAUUAUGCCCAUGACAUACACCGGCCAAAACAAUGCCCAGAGCUUAUACUCUUCAGAUGAACUUCCGAAGAAUGUUGUUAUGACUCUCAAUCAGGGAUCUGCUGUUAGGAGCAUGGAUUUCCAUCCAGGGCAACCAACCCUACUUCUUGGUUAGUUAUUUCUAGGUUGAAAUAUCUUUUUUUUUUUGUGGGGUGGGGGGAGGAAAAUUUGUUUUUUGAUUUCUUUUAUAUGGAUGGACGCCUUUCAAUUUCAGUUGGGACAAUAGUCGGUGAUGUAGCGGUAUGGGAGCUAGGUAGCAGGGAAAGGCUUGCUCUUAGAAACUUCAAAGUUUGGGACAUUGGUACAUGCUCAGGUCCUCUACAGGUAACUUGCCAUAUUGAAUGAUCUUGGGAGUUGGGAAUGUUGUUUAUAUAGCUUUGUGGAACACGGUUAUAUACUUAUAAUCUUAUAUGACUAAUCAUUGUUCCUUUUUUUUUUUUUUUCUUAUUUAUUUAAUAGACAGCUCUGGUCAAGGAACCUGCAAUAGCUGUUAAUCGUGUGGCGUGGAGUCCUGAUGGUGCUCUUUUUGGUAUGCUUAGUGUAGUUUCUACCUUUUGAGUCAUGCUAAAUCUUUUGUUAGAAAUUUUAGACUUCGGUUAAGGUACUUGGUGUUAAAGAUGUUUAAGGAUGACAAUAGACCCUGUGAUGUUUGCUAAUCAUGUUUCAUGACGUGCACCAUCAUUUCAGGUGUAGCAUAUAACAAGCACAUUGUUCAUGUUUAUUCCUACCACAACAGUGAUGAUAUACGACAUCACCUCGAGGUUUGCUGACCAUUUUUUUUACAACAUUGCCACUGAUUACGAAAUUACUACUGUAUUUUAAAUGUGUACAUUAUCUUUAGAAACAAAGCCUGCAUUCCAUGAAAAUAGGCCGAAAAGGCCAAUACCAACUGACGUUAUAUACCCUAUAAUGAGCAAGAACCUUCCAAAGACUGCUGGGUCUUACGCUCCUACUAAUCACAAAGUGGCCAAAAGCACAUCUUUAAUUUGUUACUCCCAAACCUUUUUCGGAAUCAAACCCUGCGGAUACGGGCGAGGGGAGACAAGAUCCUGGCACGUUCCAGGGUGACCUCCGCCAAAGAACAUCCCAACGUCAGAUACUGAAUGAGCGGCAAGAGACGGCCUCGUUAUCCACACCUCCGGUCGGAUGAAUGGAGGACCGACCCGGGUUUUCACGAGCGUUGGCGGGUCCUGGAGUGCCCGUCAAGGGCCUGUUCAAUACCAUAAUAAAAAGUAGUAGAGCGAGGAGAGCGGUCUACAAGAGUAAGCGGAUGGUUAAUUCACUUGAGUCUUUCUUGGAAGUGUACAAUUUAGUAUACAAUUAAUGUAAUAUAAUUAACCAAAGCAUUUGAAAUUGAAAUAUUAAUUUAAAAAAAUAAGAGUUUAGGAUUUUGAAAAUUUGUUAAUACCUUCAAUAGGAGUUCAAGCCACAAGAAAGAAGAAGAAGAUGAAGGGACAGAAAAAGUACAAUCUAGAACUCUAGAAUCCACUAGUGCACGGCAAUAUUAAGCAAAUAAGGAUUUCCUACAAAACAGGAAGUAACAAAAAAAAAAAAGGAAAUUAACCAAGUAAAAAGUUUUUCUUGUUCUGGUAACUGAAAUUUGAGUCAGAAUAGGAUCUGUAGAAAUUAAGGAAAGGAAUAGAAAUCUUUAUAAGCUACGUAAGUUAAAAAAAUAAAAAAAAUAAAAUUGAAAGUGUGGGCACCCUCAAACCCCCCUGGCUCCGCCCCUGGUGGUGGCUUGUGGAGACAGUUUAGAAAAUAAGAAAGAGAACAAAAUAAAGAGCGAGAUUUAACUUUUAAAUAAGACAAGGGUGCAUUCUCUGCACACACCAACAAUUCAAUAUUAUAGAGUAAGAUUGCACAUGCUGUGCAAACGACCACUUAUGUGCAUAUAUAGGAAACUUUAAAUCAUUUACUGGUCAGUAUACAGUCCCACCUUCUCGCAAUAAAGAAGUCCAAGUUGAAGCCUUGAAGGCAUUUCCAUUGCUAUCGAAGGCUCUCUUGUGAUGUAAUUAGACCCAUCUUCUUACUAGAGUCAUAUACUUCACUGAUAAGAUGACUGUCAAAUGUUUAUAACUUAAUUCUCUGUAUCUCUAGUUUUAUAGAAGUCUUUCUUUUCUUUGUACCUUUAUCUUUAGAUAUAUGAAGUUUUGAAUUACUUCUUUGCAAAUUUCAUUACAUCUUAUACAGAUAGACGCUCAUAUCGGUUCUGUAAAUGAUCUUGCUUUCUCUCACCCAAACAAACAAUUGUGCAUUGUGACUUGUGGAGAUGACAAAGCUAUCAAGGUAUUUUUGGUCAUGCAAUUACUUGGGUUGUGACAGAAAAUUUUAAGACCUCAAUCAUUAACACUCAAGAUGUCUAGGUGUGGGAUGCAGUCACUGGUUCCAAGCAGUACACUUUUGAAGGUCAUGAAGCUCCCGUCUUUUCUGUUUGUCCUCACUAUAAGGAAAGCAUCCAGGUACUAUAGGAUUUAUCCUCAUGUAUUUUUGUGAUUAUUAGACCAUGUAUACAGUAUUUUGAUUUGGUUCUAUAUGUCAUCACCAUGGUUGUUUCCUCUCAUCCUUGUUAUGUUCUUUACACUGUAUUGUUUUUUCUUACAUGCAGUUCAUCUUCUCAACGGCUAUGGAUGGGAAGAUUAAGGCCUGGCUGUAUGAUAACAUGGGAUCAAGAGUUGACUACGAUGCUCCUGGUCAUUGUUGUACAACAAUGUCCUACAGUGCUGAUGGUACAAGGUCGGCAAAUGAUACACCUCCUUUACGUUUCAGUUUCCCUUUACUGUGUAAUUUAUUGCUUCUUAAGUUUAAUGUACCUCUUAAUAUAUUGUUUGCCACAUCUAUUGGAAAAC